GAUGAACGCUAGCGGCAGGCUUAAUACAUGCAAGUCGAGGGGCAUCAAGGUACACGAAAGUGUAUUGUUGGCGACCGGCGGACGGGUGAGUAAUAGGUAGGUAACCUACCUCAUACUGAGGCAUAGCUGGGAGAAAUUCCAGGUAAUUCCUCAUGAGGUUAUAUGACACAUGUGAUAUAAUCAAAGGUAUCGCAAGGUACUGGUAUGAGAUGGGCUUACUGACCAUUAGCUAGUUGGUGAGAUAAGAGCUCACCAAGGCGAAGAUGGUUAGGGGUUUUGAGAGAGAGAUCCCCCACAUUGGAACUGAGAUACGGUCCAGACUCCUACGGGAGGCAGCAGUAGGGAAUAUUGGGCAAUGGGCGGAAGCCUGACCCAGCCAUGCCGCGUGAAGGAAGACGGCCUUAUGGGUUUGUAAACUUCUUUACAUGCGACUAACUAGAUUUACGAGAUAAUUCUAUAGAAUGUAGCAUAGCAAAAGCACCGG
rnacentral:rRNA from 1 species